CUCGUUAAAGACACACAAAAUGUGGACAUCAAAACAAAUGGCUACAUUUGCUCAUGAGGAAGAUGAUAACGAAGAGGAUGAGACUCCUUCAAACCAUAAGAUAGUGGAUGAUUCACACUCAACUGCAAAGCAAUGAAAGAACACAUCUGUCACUAAAUUGAACCCAGUCACCUUGGAUUAUGCCCAAAAGUGUGAGAAUUACAAGAAACUCACCAGAACUGUGAUGGACUCCAUUUCCACCUUAGAAAAAAUGACAACAUGCUCCGUCACAGGGAAAAAGGGACCACUGGUGAACAAAGACAGAGUCCUGACAGAGAAAGUGAAGCUAGUAAUAGGGAGCCUGCUGGAAGAGAAUCUGAGGACUGAUGCACAUAUAACAAUGGACAUGCAUAAAGACACAUCUCUCUCUCUCUCUCUCUCUCUCUCUCUCUCUCUCUCUCUCUCUCCCACACACACUCAGAUAUACAGUUGUUGUUGUAUGGACAGCAUUUCAUUGAUACUUGUUUUUUUAUGAAUAUGUUUGGAUACUUCUUAAAAUUUGCUGUAUGUUUGCAAAUAAAUUCUCCAUUUGAAUCAGUU